rnacentral:rRNA from 1 species
UACGUAGGGAGCAAGCGUUGUCCGGAUUUAUUGGGCGUAAAGAGCUCGUAGGCGGUUCCGUAAGUCAGGUGUGAAAAAUCUGGGCUCAACCCAGUGGAGCACCUGAUACUGCGGUGACUCGAGUCCGGGAGAGGUGAGUGGAAUUCCCAGUUGUAGCGGUGAAUGACGUAGAUAUUGGGAGGAACACCAGUGGCGAAGGCGACUCACUGGACCGGAACUGACGCUGAGGCGCGAAAGCGUGGGGAGCAACGGG